rnacentral:rRNA from 1 species
AGAGUUUGAUCCUGGCUCAGGAUGAACGCUAGCGACAGGCCUAACACAUGCAAGUCGAGGGGUAAUCAUUGGUACUUGUACUAUGAACGACCGGCGCACGGGUGCGUAACGCGUAUGCAACCUACCUUCAGCUGGGGGAUAGCCCGAAGAAAUUUGGAUUAAUACCCCAUAAUACAAUAUCAUCUCAUGGUGAGUUUGUUAAAGCUUCGGUGGCAGAAGAUGGGCAUGCGUCCGAUUAGUUUGUUGGUGAGGUAACGGCUCACCAAGACAAUGAUCGGUAGGGGUUUCUGAGAGGAAUUUUCCCCCACACUGGUACUGAGACUACGGACCAGACUCUUACGGGAGGCAGCAGUGAGGAAUAUUGGUCAAUGGGCGAAAGCCUGAACCAGCCAUGUCGCGUGAAGGAAGACAGCCUUACGGGUUGUAAACUUCUUUUCUACAGGAAUAAACACUCCGAGUUCUCGGAGCUUGAAGGUACUGUAGGAAUAAGCAUCGGCUAACUCCGUGCCAGCAGCCGCGGUAAUACGGAGGAUGCAAGCGUUAUCCGGAUUUAUUGGGUUUAAAGGGUGCGCAGGCGGAUUAAUAAGUCAGUUGUGAAAUCCCGCAGCUUAACUGCGGAACUGCCAUUGAUACUGUUAAUCUUGAAUGAAGUCGAAGUAGGCGGAAUUGAUGGUGUAGCGGUGAAAUGCAUAGAUAUCAUCAGGAAGACCGAUUGCGUAGGCAGCUUACUAGACUUGCAUUGACGCUGAGGCACGAAAGCGUGGGUAGCAACAGGAUUAGAUACCCUGGAUAGUCCACGCCGUAAACUAUGAUGACUAGCUAUUGGCAAUAUAUCGUCAGUGGCCUAGCGAAAGCGUUAAGUCAUCCACCUGGGGAGUACGUCGGCAACGAUGAAACUCACAAGGAAUUGACGGGGGCCCGCACAAGCGGAGGAACAUGUUGUUUAAUUCGAUGGUACGCGAGGAACCUUACCCGGGCUUAAAUGCAGAUUGACAUCUCGAGAAAUCGGGUUUCCUUCGGGCAAUUUGCAAGGUGCUGCAUGGUUAUUCUCAUCUCGGUCCGUGAGGUGUCGGUUAAUUC